rfam:Camelus ferus unplaced genomic scaffold scaffold539, whole genome shotgun sequence.
GAGGGUACAGCUCAGUGGUAGAGUGCAUGCUUAGUAUGCAGGAGGUCCUAGGUUCAGGCCCCAGUAUCUCCA